UUUUGAAGAAAAUUUAGUUGUUCAGAAAAGAAUCAAUUUUUGAGUUGAUUGAUUGACGACAGCCAUCUUGUAUCGUCAUCGUAUGAACGCACAGUAGUAAUAGGUUUCAAACAAAUUCUACCACACAGAAUGAUAUAAAGUUACAGUCUUCAAGCUCUCGAAUUUCGCUUUCGGCCGGACGUUUUACAAUUUCGUCUAGCUAAUAAUUCCAGACGUAAUAGUUGCUGGAAUUCGACGCAGAAACGAUUUAUAUGUCUGCUGACACGAGUGUUUGCAAAAUGGACGCAUAGCGCGGUAUCAUUUCCGAUUUGCAAUCACAUUAUUAUAACUUGACUACUGUCGAAAUAAAAAGGAAAUUGUAAUAUCUUUAUAGGUUAAGUUUUUGUGUAGGUUAUUUUUUAAACACUUUUUGUGUAUGUAAGACUUGUAUAGAGAUAUUUUGUACUUGACUUUUGUACUUGAAUAAUUAUAUGAUUGUUAAGAUAAAAUUAUUUUGAGUAUACAAGAAAUGAUUUAUAUGAGUUGUUUGACUUAAUUAUACAGAUAAAGAAAAUCUAUCUUUGAUUUCAAUAGCGAAAUUAAAUAGAUUUGCUGUGAAUUAAUUGCAGACAUUAUAAACAGGAUACUCUGUUACCCAAAGCAGUUGACUAUAAUUGAAUGCAUACAGCUAAUUAAGAAAUAACCGGUGGCAGGUUUUGCAAUUAUUCAAAUGUCACUGCAAGAAAAAUGUUCUAUUUUAGACUCGCAAUUAGAUGUGUGAGUGUCAUUUAGAUAGAUAGCUAAUUCGUUAAUUUCUCAACUUCUUUCAGUUCUUCAUUUCUUAAUUUUUUAAGGUCUGAAUUUUUUAAUUUUUCAAUCUUUCAAUCGUUCCACUUCUCCCUUCUCCACUCCCCAAAUUCCCAAAACCCCAAACCCGACAACAUCUCCCACCUCCAAAUUAAUUCAAACUUCACAGAAUUUAUUCGAAAGAUCUUUCUAUAGCUUUGAAAAUCGUAUCGCAUCAGAAACUCCCAUUGCAUCGGUACAAGAAGUGGAAGAUCAAAAUCCCUGAUCUCGAUGAGAGAAGCCCAGAUAUUCAAGAUUAGGAGGGAUUUACAAAAGGGAUGUUAGGUAUUCAGGAAAGCAGCCAGUCUCGUAGGAAGUCUGCUACGUGACGACGAUGUCAAGUUCGAACAAAGAAACGAAAAACGAUAAUAGAAAGGUAGAGAAGGCUAGAGUGCAAUAGGAAACAAUGAACAAGAGGGCGCAUAAAUGAACGUUCUGAAAACAUUUUCUGUCUUUGGCAGACGAUGGGACUCUUGCACUUGCAUAUAUUGCCGAUGCUCUUCAAUAUUCUAGUUGCACUUUUCUUCUAUUUACUUCUAUUUUUAGAAGACUUCCUGUGCUUUUGAACCUCUUUGCUGAUUCUACGGGUGAAGAAAAUGGAUUAUGGGAAUGUUACUUCUGCUGUUCUUCGAAAGGUUCUCACUGUCUCUAUGACUGAAGAAAAUGGAGUACCUUCAACUUCUAUACGUAAACAAAAUGGCGGACCAUAAUAUUAGCUUGUUCCACAUGGAAUUAUAUAUCUCUUUUAUUUAUUUAUAUCGUUAGUCAAAGGAUAUUCUACGUAUGUCAAAGUUCUUGGCUGUUUCUACGAGUGAAGAAAAUGGAGUACAUUUAAGUUCUACAUGUAAACAAAAUGGCGGACUGCUUCUCUAAAAAUCACGUAACUUUUAUGUAAUCUUUUUAUGAACAUCUUUAACAUCA